rnacentral:rRNA from 1 species
GCUCAGAUUGAACGCUGGCGGCAGGCCUAACACAUGCAAGUCGAGCGGAUGAAGGGAGCUUGCUCCUGGAUUCAGCGGCGGACGGGUGAGUAAUGCCUAGGAAUCUGCCUGGUAGUGGGGGAUAACGUCCGGAAACGGGCGCUAAUACCGCAUACGUCCUGAGGGAGAAAGUGGGGGAUCUUCGGACCUCACGCUAUCAGAUGAGCCUAGGUCGGAUUAGCUAGUUGGUGGGGUAAAGGCCUACCAAGGCGACGAUCCGUAACUGGUCUGAGAGGAUGAUCAGUCACACUGGAACUGAGACACGGUCCAGACUCCUACGGGAGGCAGCAGUGGGGAAUAUUGGACAAUGGGCGAAAGCCUGAUCCAGCCAUGCCGCGUGUGUGAAGAAGGUCUUCGGAUUGUAAAGCACUUUAAGUUGGGAGGAAGGGCAGUAAGUUAAUACCUUGCUGUUUUGACGUUACCAACAGAAUAAGCACCGGCUAACUUCGUGCCAGCAGCCGCGGUAAUACGAAGGGUGCAAGCGUUAAUCGGAAUUACUGGGCGUAAAGCGCGCGUAGGUGGUUCAGCAAGUUGGAUGUGAAAUCCCCGGGCUCAACCUGGGAACUGCAUCCAAAACUACUGAGCUAGAGUACGGUAGAGGGUGGUGGAAUUUCCUGUGUAGCGGUGAAAUGCGUAGAUAUAGGAAGGAACACCAGUGGCGAAGGCGACCACCUGGACUGAUACUGACACUGAGGUGCGAAAGCGUGGGGAGCAAACAGGAUUAGAUACCCUGGUAGUCCACGCCGUAAACGAUGUCGACUAGCCGUUGGGAUCCUUGAGAUCUUAGUGGCGCAGCUAACGCGAUAAGUCGACCGCCUGG